UUUUUUUUCAAAUAAGGAGCUGGAGAUGUGACUUGGUUACAGAAACAAAUUAGUAACUUUAUGUUGACAGCAGGAAAAAACAACAGCCUGCAUACUCAUUUGAGCAUGGGCAAGGAAUGGGAUAUGAUGUGUCAGUAAAGAUUACCUGAGAUUGAAUAGAGCACAACAGGGAUUCACAGGCGAUACUGCUUGCUAAUUAGAGCAUUAUAGAAUAUCCACACAUACAAUAGCAAGAAUCAAACUAUGCAGGAUUGAUUCUUCAUAGCGGACGAGAAAUAUAAUCGAUGUAAGACAUUUUAUUCCGGAAUAACACGUGCAUGGACACUAAAGUGACA